AGUUUACAUUGCGAUGUCUGGUGAUGAAAAUACAGGUUAGCGAAGUAAAGUUGUGUAAGAUUAAUUUGUUAGUCAAUAUGCCACUGAAACGAAAGACGAACAAAAGAAGACAAAUAAAGUACUUCUUAGGGAAAUUGCCGAUUUGUGCAAACGAGAAGACAGAAAGACACCUGAGGUUAUUUUACUUCUUGGAAGCACCGGUGUAGGAAAAAGUUCGAUGGUUAACACAAUCAUCAAGGCCUUGACCGGAAAAUAUUUCUACAAAGCUAAGUCUGGCCGAGGACGUGAAGGCUCAGUUACGCUUACGUUUGAUUGGUAUGUGAGAACGAUGUUUAACCAGGUUUGACCACUGUGGUAUUGCGGAGUGUGAUUUACAGAGUUUACAACAAGAGGUCAUUGGAGAUUGCUGGCAACAGUUACCAAACAUUAUUGACGCGGAUGGAAUGGGAUUCCAGGAUUCACAAGAUAUUCAAGAAAUAUUGGAGGUGGUUUUGGGAGGAUUCAUUCCACCUGAAACAUCUAUAACGCAUUUACAAAAGCUUUAGAGCGAUAACUAUGUUGGGUGUUUGAGAGAAAUAUACAUCAAUUGUCGCAAGGAAUGGAAGGUUUCGAAAGUCGUGUUUGUCGCAACUUGCAGUCAAAUGCUUCCAACUGGUUUGGUAGAUGUUAUUAAAAGAAUAUUGAAAACGUUUGAUCCCAAGACUGGGUAUCUACAAUACGAUGCUGACGUAUUCAUAGUCAUCACCAAAUGUGAUUUGGUUCAGGGAAUGAAGAGAUUCCCGAAAGCAGUACCUGAAGAAAACGCGACAGAAAUAAUAACAGCGGCUCAGUUCGAGAAAACAGAAGAAAAGGUUGCCAAUGUGUUUAAUAUCACAGGAGUUCAAAAACACACCAGUAUUCACUGGAUGAGCUACGUCGGUGAUAGUGAGGAUGAUCCUUACAUUGACAAUAUCGCCCUGGAGUUUAUCAAGAAGAUGAUGCAACCAAAGCGACAGAAGAAUCAAAUUAAACUUGAUACAAUGCCAUUGAUAAUGAGAUUAAAACUAAAGCUGAAAAAGUUUAAGACGCAUAUUUAUGAAAUGUGUGCAUUGAUUGUUUGCAUAAUUGCAGUCGUUUAUGUCGUCAAGGCUAUAUGUACUCCAUUGAAGAUUUAAGCUCAAGCGUCUGACGAACUUUGAAAAGGACUUCAUUCACCUUCAGAGACAUGUUUGUUGUUGAUUCAAAGUGCCUGAAUGUAUACACAUUAUCGAAAUAGUUAACAUAAGAUAACAUAUACAUUCUAUUACUUACAAAAUAUCCAAAAAGUUAACAUAUGAUAACAUAUACAUUAUA